rnacentral:rRNA from 1 species
CCUACGGGGUGCAGCAGUAGGGAAUCUUCCACAAUGGGCGAAAGCCUGAUGGAGCAACGCCGCGUGGGUGAAGAAGGUCUUCGGAUCGUAAAACCCUGUUGUUAGAGAAGAAAGUGCGUGAGAGUAACUGUUCACGGUUCGACGGUAUCUACCCAGAAAGCCCCGGCUAACUACGUGCCAGCAGCCGCGGUAAUACGUAGGUGGCAAGCGUUAUCCGGAUUUAUUGGGCGUAAAGGGAACGCAGGCGGUCUUUUAAGUCUGAUGUGAAAGCCUUCGGCUUAACCGGAGUAGUGCAUUGGAAACGGGGAGACUGGAGUGCAGAAGAGGAGAGUGGAACUCCAUGUGUAGCGGUGAAAUGCGUAGAUAUAGGGAAGAACACCAGUGGCGAAAGCGGCUCUCUGGUCUGUAACUGACGCUGUGGUUCGAAAGCGUGGGUAGCAAACAGGAUUAGAUACCCCGGUAGUC